UUAUGACAUGAUUUAACUAUUGAACCGAAGUCAAUCCCACUCGCAAUUUCGUCCACCACGAACACGAUUACAUCAUUUUCAUUCCCAUCAUUCUUCCACUUCGCUGUUCGAACAUUUCCCUUAUAACUUUACUUUCCGUUCCAUUGUUUCCCUAAGCGUUUGUCCGGACACAACCUUUUGUUGCGAAACAUGAAAAACUGCCUACAUAUCAUCUUAUCCCAGUUUCAGUGGUAGUGAAUGAGUUUCUUCGCAAUAUUUUUUUCACUCUCCACUGGAACUCGAUAUGGCACGCGCGGCGCAUCGUAAAUAGAAGAAGUAGCUCUAAAAGGCAAAUUUCAAUUUACGUAACUCAGACGCGGCUGAGAAAUCGUCGAAGACACUUGCUGCGGGCGGAGUUAAUUGCGAACGCAACAACGGACUCGAAGGAAGAAAAUUUUAUGUCGUAGUCAUCGAUGGAAUUAUUUCGUCAAGAACUCUAUAAAAUCGCUUUCCUCACCGGAACUUCCUUGCGGCCUAUGAUCUUGCACUGAGGGCGGCCGACCAUACCAUACUGGUAGUUACAUGAGCAAUCUUUCUGGAGUUCUAAAUUAAUGAGUCCAUCGACGACCCUCCUUGCCGCUACUUGGAUGAAUUGCUUCUUCUGAUUCGGCUUGGCGUCCAAGAAGUUGUUAGAACUGAACGCAGCACCACCA